rnacentral:rRNA from 1 species
GAUGAACGCUGGCGGCGUGCCUAAUACAUGCAAGUCGAGCGAACGGACGAUAAGCUUGCUUCUCUGAUGUUAGCCGCGGACGGGUGAGUAACACGUGGAUAACCUACCUAUAAGACUGGGAUAACUUCGGGAAACCGGAGCUAAUACCGGAUAAUAUUUUGCACCGCAUUGUUCAAAAGUGAAAGACGGUCUUGCUGUCACUUAUAGAUGGAUCCGCGCUGCAUUAGCUAGUUGGUAAGGUAACGGCUUACCAAGGCAACGAUGCAUAGCCGACCUGAGAGGGUGAUCGGCCACACUGGAACUGAGACACGGUCCAGACUCCUACGGGAGGCAGCAGUAGGGAAUCUUCCGCAAUGGGCGAGAGCCUGACGGAGCAACGCCGCGUGAGUGAUGAAGGUCUUCGGAUCGUAAAACUCUGUUAUUAGGGAAGAACAUAUGUGUAAGUAACUGUGCACAUCUUGACGGUACCUAAUCAGAAAGCCACGGCUAACUACGUG